rnacentral:rRNA from 1 species
UACGUAGGGGGCAAGCGUUGUCCGGAUUUAUUGGGCGUAAAGAGCGUGUAGGCGGCCAGGUAGGUCUGCUGUGAAAACUCGAGGCUUAACCUCGAGAUGUCGGCGGAACACUCUGGCUAGAGUCCGGAAGAGGAGAGCGGAAUUCCUGGUGUAGCGGUGAAAUGCGCAGAUAUCAGGAGGAACACCCGUGGCGAAGGCGGCUCUCUGGGACGGUACUGACGCUGAGACGCGAAAGCGUGGGGAGCGAACAGG